GAUGAAGAACGCAGCGAAAUGCGAUAAGUAGUGUGAAUUGCAGAAUUCAGUGAAUCAUCGAAUCUUUGAACGCACAUUGCGCCCCUUGGUAUUCCAUGGGGCAUGCCUGUUCGAGCGUCAUUUGUACCUUCAAGCUUUGCUUGGUGUUGGGUGUUUGUCUCGCCUCCGUGUGUAGACUCGCCUCAAAACAAUUGGCAGCCGGCGUAUUGAUUUCGGAGCGCAGUACAUCUCGCGCUUUGCACUCACAACGACGACGUCCAAAAGUACAUUUUUACACUCUUGACCUCGGAUCAGGUAGGGAUACCCGCUGAACUUAAGCAUAUCAAUAAGCGGAGGA
rnacentral:misc_RNA from 1 species